GAUGAAGAACGUAGCGAAAUGCGAUACUUGGUGUGAAUUGCAGAAUCCCGUGAACCAUCGAGUCUUUGAACGCAAGUUGCGCCUCAAGCCAUUAGGUUGAGGGCACGUCUGCCUGGGCGUCACAUAUCGUUGCCUGAUGCCAGUUUCCUCGUGAUGGGUGACUGUGCAGGGCGAAUGAUGGCUUCCCGUGAGCAUUGUUGCCUCAUGGUUGGUUGAAAAUUGAGUCCUUGGUAGGGAGCGCCGUGAUAGAUGGUGGUUGAGUGACGAACGAGACCCAAUCAUGUGAGACCCCUACCGAAUUUGGCCUUCAUGACCCACAUGCGUCUUUGGAACGCUCAUGACGAGACCUCAGGUCAGGCGGGGCUACCCGCUGAGUUUAAGCAUAUCAAUAGCGGAGG
rnacentral:misc_RNA from 1 species